CAGUCUCCUGUCCAGUCACGUAGUAGGCAAUCGAUCAGGUGCCCCACCGACUACGACGCCCUCCUUGUGAGCGACCUCCGUCGUCUAUGAAUCCUAGACUUCAAUACAUCAUGCAUCGUAAAGUUGGUCGACUCCCCCGGUCAGUAUGAGUCAACAUCACCUCCAUAUUCUACGCCGAUGAUUUUUGUACACAUUAUGGUCGUCACUGAAUCGUUUUGAUUCCUGGAAAGCAGCAAACCAGGAAACGGUUAUUUUUAGCAAGCGUGCGGAGGUCACGAAACCAUGAUUUGGCUGCUUGGUCGGUUGCUAUGGGAAAAAAAAAGCUCUCGUGGGUGUAUUGUCCAACCAAGCCAGUAAUUCAAGCUCUUCUGUUGUGUUGAAGUCAGGCAUGACAAGCACUGGAGGUGGUAACAUCGGUGGUCACUCUACACACAGUACCUGAAAGAAACUCUUGCAGAACACUGUCGCAACCAGAAGAAGGCGUCGCUCUCAACUUGGUAGAUACGGUUCUCGACAAGACCUCGGCGCGGUUGAGAGACAGAAUUGGCGAGAAUCCAUUGCAGGAGCCAGAGAACGAUAGAAAAAAAUAAAAAGGGUACACAUUCUUUAACUUUCGUUGCUUCCCUCAUACUUCUGAAACAACAACUAAUACACAUUGAACUCGCCAGCACACGAGAUGGAGAGGUGCCAAGAGAGCUCCAUUACCGAUGUGGAAAUCGAGGAUCCUGGAGAAAUUGUAGCUGUGGGGGUUAUCAGUAUCAUAACUUAUUUGUUGACUGUGUU